rnacentral:rRNA from 1 species
ACACUCCUACGGGAGGCAGCAGUGGGGAAUAUUGCACAAUGGGCGCAAGCCUGAUGCAGCGACGCCGCGUGGGGGAUGAAGGCCUUCGGGUUGUAAACUCCUUUCGCUAGGGACGAAGCUUUUUUGUGACGGUACCUAGAUAAGAAGCACCGGCUAACUACGUGCCAGCAGCCGCGGUAAUACGUAGGGUGCGAGCGUUGUCCGGAAUUACUGGGCGUAAAGGGCUCGUAGGUGGUUUGUCGCGUCGUCUGUGAAAUUCUGGGGCUUAACUCCGGGCGUGCAGGCGAUACGGGCAUAACUUGAGUGCUGUAGGGGUAACUGGAAUUCCUGGUGUAGCGGUGAAAUGCGCAGAUAUCAGGAGGAACACCGAUGGCGAAGGCAGGUUACUGGGCAGUUACUGACGCUGAGGAGCGAAAGCAUGGGUAGCGAACAGGAUUAGAUACCCCAGUAGUCCC